UAGUUUUAAAAUAUAUAAAAUAUAUUACAUGCAUAAAAAAGUGUCCAUAGCCUUGGAAAUGUUCAACAUAUAGAAGUAAUAAUUGUUCAACACUAUGUGGCAAAAUCUAAGAUAUAUAUAGAAGAUAGAAAAUAGCAAAUGAUAAUAAACCUUACAAAUUGAUAAAUAGCAAAUGAUAAGCGAUAAGAAAGCUUACAAAUUACAGGACAAUUGUGCGAUCCUUGAUGCUUUGAUAAUGAGUGAUGUUGUCCUCAUCAUUAACUUGCAAGAAGAUGAAAGGGAACCAAGCAAUCAUUCAAGUUUUUCUUGACCAACCGUGUCCAUGUCUAGCUGCCUGUAGACUUCAGUGAUAGAUGAAUUCAGUUUGACACUUGGACUAUGAAUCGCCAUGAGAGAAGAGAGCCGAUUUUUUUAAGCCAAAGCAUUAAUAGAUCUAAUUAGCGAGUAUACCUUCCAUAGUUGAAUCUGCGAGCUAUCCGGGUGUGGCCUACCCGCUACAGAUUGCGGGGUCCAAAAGUUCAGAACCAAAAGGGGGCGAGGGAACAGGGAUGGAGAUGGAUUCGUCAUGCCGUCAGCACCGCCGCCAUCACGCCACGCUACUGUGAUCGAUCGCCGAUCAGGCGACAGCAGCAGCCCUGCCCUGGCCAUGGCUUUCUAGCGGUUGGCGGCUAGCGCCGCGUGCGGUGUGAAGAGAACUGGGAUCAGGGUAAGGGCGCUGCCGGUUCUUCUCCUGAUCUAAUCGAUGGACUUUUUUUUAGAGAACGGUGGACUGUGUGUGUGCUGC
rnacentral:lncRNA from 1 species